UGUAGUAUUUACAAAUUUAAUGCACUUGCAUCCUUCCAAUCAAAUUAUCAACUCUAAUGAAAAUAUUCCAUUUACUCGGUAUAUUAACCUAAGUAAACGUCACGCUUGAACCGAAACAUCGUCUACCAAAAAUGACCCAGAAAUGCUUUGUUCAACAAAAUGAAAGGAACGGGGAGCUCAAACAUCAAGCUAUCACAAGGUCAAAAUUAGACUUCAAUCUUAUUAAUUCUG
rnacentral:lncRNA from 1 species